CUUUUAUUGAGCAGGUUUUUGGCCAGACUGUGUGCCAAACAGACAGCUUCUCCCGUUGUACAGUGCUGGCGCAGCUCCUCCACCUUGUUGUUGAGACUUACUAGCUCCUGCUCUCUCUCUACGAUCUUCUCAUGCUGGUACAUUAUGAUGGCUGCCAGCAGUCAGAAAACAUCCCUCUAGUUCCCCUUUUACUUGGGGAACCAUGUCUUAAUACUCAUCGUCUGUACAAACAGAAUCCUGCUGACCACAACAAAUGCCAAGGGAAAACAUUUGCAGAUUUGAUGCAUGGAACAGAAGACACUGCACACUGUCUGAGCCAGACAACGCCAGUUCAGAAAAAGAA